rnacentral:SRP_RNA from 1 species
GCUGGGUGCGGUGGCGCGUGCCUGUAGUCCCAGCUACCUGGGAGGCUGUGGCUGGAGGCUGCUUGAGCCCAGGAGUUCUGGGCUGCAGUGCGCUAAGCCAAUGGGGCGUCCGCACUAAGUUUGGCAUCAAUAUGCUGACCUCCCGGGAGCGGGGAACCACCAGGUUGCCUAAGGAGGGGUGAACCGGCCCAGGUCGGAAACGGAGCAGGUCAAAACUCCCGUGCUGAUCAGUAGUGGGAUCGCACCUGUGAAUAGCCACUGCACUCCAGCCUGGGCAACAUAGAGAGACCCUGUCUCU